GGASGGUGCAAGCGUUAUCCGGAUUUACUGGGUUUAAAGGGUGCGCAGGCGGAUAUGUAAGCCAGUGGUGAAAUCUCUAGGCUUAACCUGGAAAUUGCCGUUGAUACUAUAUAUCUUGAAUGCUGUGGAGGUAAGCGGAAUAUGUCAUGUAGCGGUGAAAUGCUUAGAUAUGACAUAGAACACCUAUUGCGAAGGCAGCUUACUACGCAGAUAUUGACGCUCAUGCACGAAAGCGUGGGGAUCAAACAGGAUUAGAUACCCUGGUAGUCCACGCCCUAAACGAUGAUUACUCGACAUACGCGAUACACUGUGUGUGUCUGAGCGAAAGCAUUAAGUAAUCCACCUGGGAAGUACGACCGCAAGGUUG
rnacentral:rRNA from 1 species